GACGAACGCUGGCGGCGUGCUUAACACAUGCCAGUCGAACGGAAAGGCCCUGCUUUUGUGGGGUGCUCUAGUGGCGAACGGGUGAGUAACACGUGAGUAACCUGCCCUUGACUUUGGGAUAACUUCAUGAAACUGGGUCUAAUACCGGAUAGGAGCUCCUGCUGCAUGGUGGGGGUUGGAAAGUUUCGGCGGUUGGGGAUGGACUCGCGGCUUAUCAGCUUGUUGGUGGGGUAGUGGAUUACCAAGGCUUUGACGGGUAGCCGGCCUGAGAGGGUGACCGGACACAUUGGGAUUGAGAUACGGCCCAGACUCCUACGGGAGGCAGAAGUGGGGAAUAUUGCACAAUGGGCGGAAGCAUGAUGCAGCAAAGCCGCGUGCGGGAUGACGGCAUUCGGGUUGUAAACCGCUUUCGCCUGUGACGAAGCGUGAGUGACGGUAAUGGGUAAAGAAGCACCGGCUAACUACGUG
rnacentral:rRNA from 1 species